GAAUCUGAAGACGCUGAAGUUUUAGUUGAUCUUCUUCUCAGGCUUCAGGGAAGUGGUAGGCUUGAGUGUCCUAUCACUAUUGACAAUGUUAAAGCUAUCAUCUGGGAUAUGUUCGUUGCUGGAACUGAUACUUCAUCAACAACAACAGAAUGGGCUCUAGCAGAAAUGAUCAGGAACCCAAGAGUCCUGAAGAAGGCACAAGCUGAGAUAAGGGAAUCCCUUAAAGGGAAGGAAACAAUUUCCGAAGAAGAUAUUCAAGGAUUACAAUACCUAAAGCUGGUGAUCAAAGAAACUCUAAGGAUACACCCUGCAGUACCCUUGUUACUU
rnacentral:misc_RNA from 1 species